GGCGCCAGGCACCCGCGCGCGCAUGCGCCCCUCGGCGCCGUGGCCAGGCGCUGAGUCCCGUCCAGGCUUCUGCACCGGCUCCGCGAAGGGGAAGGCUGUGAACUCCCCAAGGACAGUAACUACAGCCAAGUGACACAGAGAAGCUGCUCAAUAAAUAUUUGCUGAAUGCGUGAACGACGUGCCCGGUCUCAAACGACUCUGCAAAGUCUCUUCGAUUAAUGAUGCCAUGAAGAGAUUGCCAUGGGCCCCACGGCCUGAUCUACCCUUUGGGCCUUUCAUCAUCUAAUCUGUGGUGUGGUUGGCUGUCCGUAUGUGAAUAUCUCUAAGGUCCCUGUCAGCACAGACGGUACCACUGCUGAAAAAGGAAAAUCAAAGACCUAUUCCAGCUGCUCUCAUCUGACAGAAGAGGAAAUAGGCCCAAUUAAGGCCCUUUCUUGCUGCGGGUAUCAUAGGGAAUACACGAGGCCAGUGCAGGUUCCGGGCUGCUAGAAAGACUAUUGUUUAGUUUUCAAUUGUGUGGUGCCAGGACACUGAAUGGAGGAGGAUAAAUUGGGAUGGAUGGGAAGGCAGCUGUGGCCCAGUCUACACCAAAUAUAGGUGGAUACUUCUACUCUGAGGAGCAACCCAGUCUACCAGAAUCAGCUGGUGUUUGAAUCCCACUCCACCACUGAAUGGCCUUGGACAAGUCACUUUGGCACCCAUGAAAUGAGGACAGCAACACCUACUGCAUCAGAUUAUGGUGAAGCUAAAUGUAUGAUGCAUACAAAGUACCUAAGAUGAUAUUUGGUACAUAGAAAAAGGCUUUGUAAACCCAUCCAACCACAUGUACUCUUCUAAAGAAAAAUAAUCACGCCAAGAAUAGGAAUUUGCCAAAUAAGAUGUAAGCAAUACCAAAUAUUUUUUAAAUCAAAAUUUUAUAGUAACACAAACUAACCCCAGAUCCUGGACUGCUUAAUAAAUCUCCUAUAAAGCUGACAUACUUAUGGGAUUACUGUUUACAUUAGUAACAGCUUAAAGGGUGGACACUGCUCACCUACCAAGAAAUGAUUCUCUCAGGCUCUCCAUCUUAUGUCUGUGUGGCAUGGCAGAGCACAACACUGUAGGAACACUUCUGUUCUCCCUUGGCUUCUGCCACCACUGAGGGCAUCAUCCAGAGCAAGAUGCCCUGUCCAGUCCUGUGUAAAAUGAGAGUUUGUCUAUAUAGUUUCCCAAACUCCUUCUGGCUCUAAAACUCUACUGCCAUGUAGAUUUUAACAGUUUAACAUGUGUGAUACUGGUUUGAGGAAGAAGUACUGUCUUCAUCAGAUAUCUUGAAAGCCUGAAAUAGGAUACUGAAUAUCACAAUGAUUAUCUACUGUUUUUUGAGGGGAAAUGAAGAACCUAACAGUUGACCUCUGAACAGCACAGGUUUGAACACAGGUCCACUUACAAGUGGAUUAUCUUCAAUAAGUAUAUUGGGAAAUUUUUUUGGAGAUUUGAGGCAAUUUGAAAAAAUUCAUUGAUGAACUGCAUAGCCUAGAAAUACCAAAAAGAUAAGAUAAAGUUAGGUAUUAUUGUAAGAAUAAAGUACAUAACAACAUAUAACAUACAAAAUAUGUGUUGACUAUGUUAUCAGUAAGGCUUCCGGUCGAUAGGAGGCUACUGGUUAAGUUUUUGAAGAGCCUAAAGUUAUACAAAAUUUUCAGCUGUGCAGGGGAGCCAGUGCCCCUAAUCCCUGAGUUGUUCAUGGGUCAACUGUAUAUAUAUAUAUUUCUAAUACUAAGAUAACAAGUCACAUUUUCACUGAGAAGCGAGGGACUAAUCUAAAAACAUUUAGAGUCAUGUAGUCCCAUGUACACACAAUUUUCAAAGGUGGGUCUACUCUUAACAAAUGUCAAUUUCUCAGCGGCUCCAAACCUAUUCCAACUGGAUUUACUGGCAAUUGUUGGUGAAGUUGGCUUAGUUUUAUAUACCAUUAUCAAUCCAAGGAGGCAAUAUGUGGGAAAACAAACAUUGCUGUGUUUAUAGGUUGCUGCAAAGGCUGUUCCCUACUGUCUUCUCUUAGCCUCAAACAGGGAGACAUGUAGAAACCACACAGGUUCUCACAGGGCUUACAUUUAAUAGAAGAGCCAGGCAAGCCUGGGAGCACAUGUAAGGGUCACUUGACUCAGAUUUCAGGGACCAGAAGCCUCCAGAAAAGUGUCAUCUAAGCUGAGGUCUGAAGAGCGAACAGCAAGGGUGUGAGGGUGAUGACCAGAGACGAGAACAGGUCUCACACCUUGCACUCCAAGUGUACCUGGGGCAUCACCUCCUCCAGUUGGCUCCACUCACACCGUGGAUUUUCCUCUAGCUAGAGUGACCAUAAGUCCUGGUUUGCUCUGGAGAGUCCCGGUUUAUCUGGCACAACUAUUAAAAGUGCCUCCUUAUACUCUCAAAAGUGCUCUGGAUGGGAUGAUCAAUUAUACCACUACCCUACCUUUAGCCUAGUUCCUGGCAGAUCCUGACUUGCAGGUCUGGCUUCCCCAGGUGACUCAGCUGACCGAAGUAUGGGAUCAAUCUUAUUUACCUUUGCAUCCAAGGCAUGGGCUCCACUUCAUUCAUCUUUGUAUCCAUGACACCUAGCCUCAUGCCUGGGGCUAAAAAGAUUGACCACUACAGGCAUUCAAGACAGAAUUUGAAAAUUAACAUGAAAAGCAAACUAUAAGAGACAACAAAUUAGAUUUGUAAAUCUUUACAUCACGCUGAAAUCCUCGUUCAAAUGUUCACUAGCCACGUAACCUUCUAAUCCUUAGGUUUUCACCUGAAAAAAAGGGGGGGAUAAUAUUACCUUUUUCACACGUUGGGUAAGUUUAAAGUGCUUCAGCACAGCACUGGCAUAGGACGAACAGUUAGCAGCAGCUGCCACAGACAAGGACGACUGAUCCUCCUGCGGCCACAACCGUUUUGCCGUAAGAAAAUCAAACCAACACCUAAUGACCAACCAGUAGGGGCUCAGGAAGUGUGCACUAAAUGAAUGCUUGGUCUCAUGCUAGGUGCUGGCUGCAGACCAGAUUCUUGGAUUACAAGAUGCAUUAAUCAAAAUUACAAUUUAUAAGUCACAGGAUUUGAGUCCCCUCAGUCCAGUUUCAAUAACAAUUAUAAAAAGCCCACCUCACAUCCAGAAGAAAAAUAGAACACAGCAGCACUAUCUGGCCAUAUCUUAGAUAAUAACAGCACUUAAAACCUCAUCCUUGUUACAACUGCCCUCUCUUAAAAAUUAUUCUUCUAUAAGCAUGCCAACUUAGAUAUCUGGGUCCAUCUCUACCUUUUUGAACUGUCAGCCUCCCAAGUUUUAUGUGAUUAAUGUAUAUACAGAAAACUAGAAAGGCUUCAAAUUGAGUCAAUAGUCGUUUUCUUGAUCCCCCCACCCCCAUUACAAUAUCCUCUUUGCAAUAGAUCCUUGUUGAACAUUUGGAAUGAAUUAAGACUUUAAAUUUCCAGAUGUUUAAACUACUACUGUAAAUUCAAACUCAUUAAAAAGGGCAGAUUUACUACCUCUACUUAGUUUUGAAGUCUGUUGUUCACCCUGUCCAAAUAAUUUACGAAACCAAAUACAGUGGCAGGUAGUGUAUUCUAUUUAUAUAGUAUUCAUGGUGAGAAAUAAAGGGCAUUUAAAAAAGUCUGGAAACUAACUGCUAUUUUAACCAACCUAUAGAUCACACUUAUUGUUGUUUCUAAGCCAGUAAUUGUUUCCUGAAACCGAUCUAGUAGAGAUUUUUAUGCUAAUCUGUACUAAAAAUUACUUUGCUUUUUCUGGCCACAAAAAGCUGGCUACAGAGGAGCAUUUGAUUACAGCAAGAAGACAGCUGCACCCACUCUUGUGAAAUAAAUGGACCUGGAUCUACAGUCCUUUGUGGUAGUGUCUUGGCAGCCAAACAAAGGUGGCAGCAUUUCUACACCCAGUUUGUGAAGUCUCAGAAGUUUCAGGCUUUUUUUUUUUUUUUUUUGCAAAGAACCCAUGUUGACUAUAAUGAGCACAUUCUAGAGAUGCUGUGCUGAAAGCUGGCAAUGGAUAAAGCAGGAACAUAAAAGAAGCCUAUUCCUAAAGGAAAUAUUUCUUUUAUAAACCAUAAGAAUGAAGUGGCUUUCAUAAUCAAUUUUAAGAUUGAAGGAUUGAGAUAUCUGGCUAUGGCAACUUAUUAGCUAUAUAAUUUGGGGCAAUUCAUUUACCUCUGUGAGCUUGACUGCUUAACCGAAAAAUGGGGAUAAUAAGUUGCUUUUUUCGGAGAACUUGAAUGAUAUAGUCACAGUGCUCUGUAAGUUCUAAGGUAUCAUAUAAAUAUUAAUAAACACUGCAAGUACAA